GUGUUGCAAAAGUAGCUUUCCCUGCUUUUAAAGUCGGGGAACCAGAGGAAGUUGAAAAUCACAUGGACAAAUGUUGCUGUUGACAAAGUGCCACAAUUGCCACCCCAGUGCAAUUGUAGCAUGGUGUGUUAAUCUAGAGCAGGGCUGAGAAACCUGUGGCCCUCCAAAUGUAGGACUACAACUCUCAUCAUCCCUAGCUAGCAGAAGCAGUAGUCAGGGAUUGUGGGAGUUGUAGUCCAACAACUACUGGAGACCCAAGUCUGAGAAACACUCUAGGCUACCUAGUGGACAGGACGGAACUCUUUGGGGUGCUGCUGUUACUGCUACAUUGCCACAAUACCUCUUUGCCUUGUGGAAGCUGUGACCCAUCUGUCGCUUACCAAAGAUUUGCGCAGAUUCAAUGUAAAACUGGGAGAAUCAUUUUGGUGACACUCAGCUGUAUAUUGCCAAACUCUGGCACCCAGGUCUUUGGCCAUAACCUUUUAUGUGAUUGCAUAUCAAAGCUUUUAUCCCUUGCCCUCCACAUUAUGCAGUUAUGGCUAGUGACAUUUGGUACCAGCAACCCCAGAGUCAUUCGUGACUGGAUUUAACUGUCAGAGGUCCUUUACCUUUACCUUUACCUAGCUGAAUUUUUAAUUGGGGGGGGGGGAAUAUUUCCAAAUCUGAAAGAUCCAGAUUUUGAACCCAGCAUAGGAGCCAACUCCCUUUGCCCUCCCCCCUAAAAUAUUUGAGGGGAUUGCCCCCUCCAACGUAGAUGGGCAUUGCCAUUCAAAUGGUGUGCAUGUGCCAUGUCUUGUGAUUAUGUGAGGUGGAACUUACCUGGGUCCUCCCAAUAUUUUAUUCAAGUUGGCACGCCUGGAACCAACUUGACCAUAUGCUCUAUGGUUCUUAUGCAUAUUUUAUUCAAAGGUAAUACCCCGUUGACUUAAGUGAGCCGUGCUCUUCCUUGCUUCAGCUUUAGAUUUAUAGGAUGGCCUGUUAAUUAGAUACUGUCAAAAGUUGAUCGUUCUGUCUGUUUCUGAUGUUCAGAUUGUGAGUGCUAUUGCUUAUUCAGCCAAAAGCAGUGAACAGAAAGAGGGAGAAAGGAAUAGGAGGCUGGGGUGUAGAAGUACAAAAAAUAUUGCCUGUGGGGCAGGGACUGAAGAGGAGGAACCAAAAAUGACACAACUCAGUGCCAGUUAUGAGGGAUGGUGGUAGAAAGGAUAACCAGGGAGAAAGAGGGUGAAAUGGGAGAGACCAGCAAUUUUUGACUCCACAUCACAAUGGACUGUUUUCUAUUCCAGCUUCUCAUUCAUAAGAACCUUGUCGCAAGCAACAAUGCCUGUGUUCACUUUCUCCCUCCUUCGUCCCAAUAUGUUUUCCUUUUGUGCUGUACGCCCUUUUAGAUUGUGAAUAUGAAAGUAAAGUCCAUCUUAUGAAACUGCCCUGAGAGCCUCUUUUGCCUUAAAAGCAGAGUGAAAAUGAAUUUUAAAAAAUAAAGGUAAGUGUGCACAGCAUUGUAGCCUUAAAGUGCAAGGUUAUGCAUGUCUAUUCAGAAAUAAAAUUCAGUUCCAUAAUUACUCCCAGAAAAGUGUGCACAGGAUUGUGGUCUCAGUAUAUAAACAUAUCAGUGGGGCAUUGUAGAGUUUGAUAGAGGAAUGUGGAAACUAGAGGAAAGAUGCAUAUUCUGCACUUGCUUCCCAAAGACCUUAAUUAAAUCAUCAAAGGGAUGCAUCCAGGCAAAGUUAAGCACUUUAAAGUUCCCUUCACUUCUCCUGGAAAUAUUUAUGCAGCUACUUAACCAAUGGAAAUCGCUAGGGCCUGCCACCUGAUCUGAACCAUGCUUAUAGUUUGUCCCACUGAUGUUAAUAGUUUCCACCUCCCAAAUCAGUACGCUGAGGGUUGCCACAGGAACUUAACUAUGGCUUGAUUGCUCCCCAAAUAAAGAAGUUGUUAAAAGAUCCAUCAUGAAAUGACUUCUGUUCAGGGAAAACACCUGACAUCUU
rnacentral:lncRNA from 1 species